rnacentral:rRNA from 1 species
UACGAAGGGGGCUAGCGUUGCUCGGAAUCACUGGGCGUAAAGCGCACGUAGGCGGGUCGUUAAGUCAGGGGUGAAAUCCUGGAGCUCAACUCCAGAACUGCCUUUGAUACUGGCGACCUAGAGUUCGAGAGAGGUUGGUGGAACUCCGAGUGUAGAGGUGAAAUUCGUAGAUAUUCGGAAGAACACCAGUGGCGAAGGCGGCCAACUGGCUCGAUACUGACGCUGAGGUGCGAAAGCGUGGGGAGCAAACAGG